UUGAGCAAGCUAAAAAGGCAAACAUGAAAAAUUGAUUAUCCAUGAAACAUUUAAAAACGACUAUAACUCUAAGAAGUUUUCUUGAAGAGCCAGAAGUACAAAAGGUUGAAACAAAUAAAUAAUACAUAUUACAAGAUAAAGUUAUCAAUACAUUUUUAUUUUGUUGCAAGUUUAUUCAAACAAAAUAUAUGGGUGAAUUUUUUUUUUUUGUUUGAUCAAAAGGUGGAAGCAAAGAGCUAACCACCACACAAAAUAUUAUAAAAUAAAAGAAGCAAGUACAAAUGGAGGGGACCAAACCAAAACUCUAUUAAGAAAAACAUAGUUUAAAACUAGGCAUUCCUAGUUUAUUUAUAUGGGUGAAAUUAUUAAGUUUGUUUAUUUAUUAAUCCUAUCUAUUUCUUUAUUUGUUGUUGUAGCUAACAUUACAGAAAUGCGGGGCCAAAAGUGCAGAGAUGAUUACGACUGUCCUCGGUUUUUGUGUGUACCUCCUUUACUUCCAAAAUGUAUUUCCUUUAAAUGUAAAUGUCGUAAAAAAUUGAUAUUGUAAUUUUAAAGGACGAAGUUAAAAUUUCAUCUAGGAUAGUUAUAAAAUGAGCUUAAAAAAUACUGUUAUUAUAA